AAGCAUAUCAAUAAGCGGAGGAAAAGAAACCAACAGGGAUUGCCCUAGUAACGGCGAGUGAAGCGGCAACAGCUCAAAUUUGAAAUCUGGCGCAAGCCCGAGUUGUAAUUUGUAGAGGAUGCUUCUGGGCAGCGGCCGUUCUAAGUUCCUUGGAACAGGACGUCAUAGAGGGUGAGAAUCCCGUAUGUGACCGGCACGUACCCUCCACGUAGCUCCUUCGACGAGUCGAGUUGUUUGGGAAUGCAGCUCUAAAUGGGAGGUAAAUUCCUUCUAAAGCUAAAUACUGGCCAGAGACCGAUAGCGCACAAGUAGAGUGAUCGAAAGAUGAAAAGCACUUUGGAAAGAGAGUUAAAAAGCACGUGAAAUUGUUGAAAGGGAAGCGCUUACAACCAGACUUCGUGGCGGUGUUCCGCCGGUCUUCUGACCGGUUCAUUCGCCGCCGCGAGGCCAGCAUCGUCUGGGGCCGCCGGAUAAGACCUUGGGAAUGUAGCUUGCCUCGGUAAGUGUUAUAGCCCAGGGUGAUGCGGCGUGCCUCGGGCGAGGUCCGCGCUUCGGCAAGGAUGCUGGCGUAAUGGUUGUCAGCGGCCCGUCUUGAAACACGGACCAAGGAGUCUAACAUCUAUGCGAGUGUUCGGGUGUCAAACCCCUACGCGUAAUGAAAGUGAACGGAGGUGGGAAGCGCAAGCUGCACCAUCGACCGAUCCUGAUGUCCUCGGAUGGAUUUGAGUAAGAGCAUAGCUGUUGGGACCCGAAAGAUGGUGAACUAUGCCUGAAUAGGGUGAAGCCAGAGGAAACUCUGGUGGAGG
rnacentral:rRNA from 1 species